AUCAUCUUCAUCGCUCAGCAAAUCAAAAUCAACCGAAGCCCGUAGAAGAAAACUACCACCUUCCGAACAAAACCCUAAUGCGUGUUCUCCGUUCAUUAUUAAUUAACAGCAUUGGAUUAUUAAUCUCGCCAUAAUCUCUUUCCCAAUAAUAAAUAACAAAUAGAAAAAAUGGAUUCGGAUGAAGAAGAUUUUGUGUUCUACGGAACGCCCAUAGAGCGUGAAGAAGAGUUAACUAGCCGCAAAAAGAAGGCCAUUGCUGAGUCCUCUGGUCAACUUCGAACACUUCCAGCUUGGAAGCAAGAGGUUAGAGAUGAGGAAGGACGGAGAAGAUUCCAUGGUGCAUUUACUGGAGGCUAUUCGGCUGGGUACUAUAAUACAGUGGGCUCAAAGGAGGGGUGGACUCCUCAGACUUUCAGAUCUUCCAGGAAGAACAGAGCUGAGUUCAAAGAGCAGAACAUAUUAAAUUUUCUAGAUGAAGAUGAGAAAGCUGAAUUGGAUGGUCGGUUUUUGGGGACAUCUUCACAGUUUGACACAUUUGGUUUUACUGCUGCUGAAAUUGCUCGGAAACAAGCGGAGAAAGAGCAGAAGCAGAGGCCAUCUGUUAUUCCUGGACCUGCUCCUGAUGAACUAAUUCAACCAGCUACAGAGUCUAUUGGGGUAAAACUACUAUUGAAGAUGGGAUGGAGGCGUGGUCGCUCAAUUAAGGAUUCCCAUGCUGAUGGACUCUAUGAUGCCAGACGACAGGCCAGGAGAGCUUUCUUAGCAUUUUCCUCAGAUGAUCCAAAAGUCAAAACUAGUGAGUCUGAGCAGAACAAGGAUGAUGUUGAAACUUUUCUUGAGCAGUCUACUAAUGACGAUGUUCAGUCUUCUAAGAGCACACCAGUUUUUGUGCUCAACCCAAAGCAAGACCUGUAUGGCUUAGGUUUUGAUCCUUAUAAACAUGCUCCUGAGUUUAGAGAGAAAAAACGAUCACGCUUAUCCAGCAAGGGGGGUCCUGGGUAUAGCAAAAACAUGUCCACAAGGAACAGUCUUUUCAGUCUAAAGUCAGGAAAGUCAGCCCCUGGUUUUGGAAUAGGAGCACUUGAGGAACUCGAUGCUGAGGAUGAGGAUGUCUAUGCCACUGGUUUUGAAUUUGAAGAUACAUAUGUUCAAGAAGUUGAAGAACCUUCAACGUUGAGGUUGGAAAAUCAGAAAAAGAAGGAUCAGAAGGACCAUGAUAAUCUACCUGGUUUUAGAGUUGCAUCCAAUACUGACUAUCAAAUGGAAAGAUUUGAGGCUCCUCCAAUUCCCAAGGAUUUUGUGCCUCGCCAUUCAUUUUCCGGGCCUCUUGAGAUUAAUCACAAGAACUAUGAUCUAGCUCCUCCAGAUAUUCCACCUCCUGAGGAUAGCAACCUAAAAAUAUUGAUUGAGGGGGUUGCAAAUCUGGUUGCUAGAUGUGGUAAAUUAUAUGAGGAUAUAUCUAGAGAAAAGAAUCAGUCAAAUCCGUUGUUUAGUUUUCUCUCUGGUGGUACUGGCCAUGAUUAUUAUGCAAGGAAACUGUGGGAGGCACAACAGAAAUGCAAAGACAAAACUAAGCCACUUUUGGUUGGGAAGGUUUCUUCUGAUGUAAAGAGGCUGACAGCUGAGAACCGAGGCCAGAUCUUAGGGGAAAAACCUCUAGAAAGAAGCUUGCAAGAUCCAUCAUCUUCUGUUGCUUCCACAGAUGUUCAUCUCCAGUUUAAUCUUACGGAUACAUUUACAAAGUCUGAACCAUUUGGUGAGUUACCAGAUGUUGAAAAGCCUUUCAAGCAUGAUCCUGCAAAACAAGAUAGAUUUGAGCAGUUUCUCAAAGACAAAUAUAGAGGGGGUUUACGAUCUACUAAAUCAAGCUUAGCUGGUGAUAUGUCAGAGGCUGCUCGUGCUCGAGAGAGACUAGAUUUUGAGGCUGCAGCUGAGGCAAUAUUAAAAGGAAAGCAGGGAAAGGAAAGCAAUCUUGGCAUUCCAUCUUCCAUGGAUUUCAUCACAGGUGGUCUUAUGCAGUUUACUUCUGGAGAAGCAGAGCCAAAGAAAGAUCUGCAAAGUGAAGAUUUGGCGCAGAAGAAGAAGUACCCUAGAAGGGAAGAAUUUCAAUGGCGCCCUUCAGCACUUCUCUGCAAACGCUUUGAUCUCAUUGAUCCUUACAUGGGGAAGCCGGCGCCUGCCCCGCGGAGUAGGAGCAAGUUGGAUUCAUUGAUUUUCACAUCAGACUCGGCCAAAGGCGCCAAAAUAGAAGAGCCUGUUCUUUCUAAGAACAUAUCGUAUGUGCAACAAUCUGCUUAUCAAGACAUAACGAAAAGUACUGCUGAAAGUGAAACUGAAGGGGAUGUGGAAGUUGAAAACAUUGAAAGGCCAGUUGAUCUGUACAAGGCUAUUUUCUCUGAUGAUUCAGAUGAUGGAGGUGAAGACCCUAAUCAUCUUAAGAAAGUGGAGAAUCAAGAAAAGAAAGCUGAAGUAGCCAAUACAGCAUUGAGCCGUUUGAUUGCUGGUGACUUUCUAGAAUCAUUGGGUAAAGAACUAGGGCUUGAGGUUCCUCCUGAUAUGCCUUACCCCUCACAAAAAUUCAGGAAUACUGCUUCUCAGGAAGAAAAUAUCAACGAACAUUCAAGAACAAACACUCUAAAGGUUGAACACAACAGUGAGAUGCCACCAAAUCAUGGUUUGCCAUCUGAUCAGGACACUGUAUAUGAGGGUGGACCCUCAAAAGGUGACGUCAUUCAUGCAAAUAUGCUUGAGAGUGGUAGCACAAAAAUCAAUGCUACUGGAAUCUAUGACAGUAAAUCCGGUAAGUCCAAUGGGGAGAGCUAUAAAGAUGACAUGAAAAUCAAAUCGCCUUUACCCCGGGAACAAGAUCAUAGCAGUGGUUCAUCUUCAGAAGAGGAAAGGAAGAGAAAACGCUCAGGUAAGUCUAGCAGGGAUAAACAUGAAGAGUACAGGAAAACUAAAACUCUUUCAACACACCGCCGAGACUAUAGCAGUGGUUCUUCAUCUGAAGAGGAAAGCAGUAGAAAACGUUCCAGGCAUCAUCGACAUAGGAGGCGUACAGAAAGCAAUCCAUCCAGUGACGAUGAAAGGGAUCGACAUGGUUCAAGGUCAAAAGAGAGAAAGAAAGGGUCUUCUCGAGAGAAAAGCAGUCGGAGUAGAAAACACUCAAAACAUCACAAGCACAGAAGACAUUAUUAAUCUCCAAGUAGAUUGUCUCAUUAUAGCGCAGAUAAGGACAAUGCACAUUCAAAAAGGGAGAAAAAGUGUAGGGGAUGAGCUAGUAGUGCAUAUCUUAUUUUUCAAGAACUUCCUGGAAUUAUGGUAGACCAGACACUGCCAUUUCUGUAUUGAAAAGUGUGAAGGAAUGCUGCUCAGUGCUUUGAUUAAAUUUUCCUGAAUCAUCCCUUCACGAAUGUACUAUGUAUAUAGUUCAAUGUUGGCCGGUCUCAGAACUCCUUGGUCUCAGGGUUUUGAUUUAUAAGCUAGCUGAAAGCAUUAUUCACAAAACUCAGCUUCAUGCAAAUCAUGCAUGGCAGCUUCCUAAAAUAAACAAUUUAAAAAGGGAACCUUUCCUUUUCCCCCUGGAUCUCACGUUUUGUAAAAUAUUUUCUUUUAAUAAUUAAGGGUUUUUAUAUUUGUUUAAGAAGAUUAUUGAUGGGGUGAUCAGAGAUCCGCAGGUGAUGCUGCCGACAAAAACAUCGGAAUUUGCUAAUUGACAGUUUAAUUGCAAACCGUAUCUGGAUGUACUUGGCGCUUGCAAGUUGCAACCGAUAACGGUUAAAAUCUGAUUGCAAUGUCGUCUUGUAAUUAAACAAUUGGUCAGAACUGCUAG